UGGUGGAGUGAUUUGUCUGGUUAAUUCCGUUAACGAACGAGACCUCGACCUGCUAAAUAGUUUGGCGAAUUCCCUGUGGAUUCGCAUAUAACUUCUUAGAGGGACUAUCGGUUCGCAGCCGGUGGAAGUUCGAGGCAAUAACA
rnacentral:rRNA from 1 species